CCUUCAUGAAGCUGGAAUUGCUAGUAAUGGCAGGUCAGCAUACUGCCGUGAAUACGUUCCCAGGCCUUGUACACGCCGCCCGUCACACCAUGAGAGUUGGAAAUACCCGAAGCCUGUGAGCUAACUUAAAGAGGCAGCAGUCGAAGGUAGAGCCAAUGAUUGGGGUGAAGUCGUAACAAGGUACC
rnacentral:rRNA from 1 species